AUUUAUAUAAAUUUUUAUUAUUCACAUUGAGCUGUAGUAAAAUUAAGAAAUUGGAUGAAUGCCUCUUAUUCCAGGACACCGACAUCAACAUCUGUGCAGAUCUGAUCGCCGCUCACUUUGGCCGCUUUGGAGGCAUUAGGGAUGCUCGUCAAAACGUUACCGGAGGCCCCCACGGGGAGGAAGUGAGUCGACUUGAGACGCCUGAACAAUAAGGAUCGCGCUGGGAAUACCCUGUAGAAGCAGUCAGCAGCUGUGCCCUAUGAGGUACGCCUCCAUGGCCUCCAUGCGAUGUUAUUGCGUUAUGUUACUUUACUUCUCAGCAUUGUUUGGUUCCUCGCAGUCAAAUGAAGCCAUCAUAAGCUCUGGAA